rnacentral:tRNA from 1 species
AUGUGUCAGAAAUAAAUGUGUUAAAUUUAAGAUUUAAAUAUGAAGUUUUAUAUUCCUUUAGU